UAUCUUACUUUUGUUAAACAAUGAAAAAUAAUACAAUAAAUACAGGUUGGUGGAACUCUCUUAUCUAAUAAGUGAGAAAAAACCUAUAUGUAUGUAACAUAAAAUUUAAAAAGGCUUAUC
rfam:Polaribacter atrinae strain KACC 17473 LPB303_42, whole genome shotgun sequence.